UCGAAGGCUAGCCUAGGACUCCAAAUUCUCAGGGUCGGCCCUGUCUCCACCAACCAGAACAUCACCGCCGUCGCGAAUCUUGUGACCACCACGACAGCACCACCCAUCUUCUCGAUUCUCCUCCCCGACGACAUCCCAGACUAACCCAGGUCCCAGAACCACGACGACUUGAUUCUCUGCUUCUCGAUGAUAUCACCGCCAUCACGACAACCAUCAUCCCAUCGCCGCCGCCAGUUGAGGAAUUUCAUGUUGAUUAUAGAACUCCUCAGGCUGAAUUUCGUGUUGCACUUGUUAAAGAUGCCUACUUGACCAGGCCUUUGGGACUGCAAGACGGGUUUAUUCUGAAACCCCAAAGUGAAUAUUUAAAAGACAAAUACUAAAAACCAAAAAUAAAAGCAUAUGACAGGUUAGAGAUCUUGGGUGUUUCAUAGUUAAUUGACAAUAAAAAAGUGACACAACUCCUUAUCAGUUGUUUCGUAGUUUGUGCACUUCCCAACACAAGAGAACU
rnacentral:sRNA from 1 species